CAGAAGCCUCCUCUCAGUCUCGCCCUGCCCUGGAUUUAGAGUCAUGCCCUGACUGUAAAGUGCGAGAUGUUCUUUGAUGUCUCUUCAGCAGUGCACGGCUCCUCUUCGCUGCUCCUCGCCAUCAUCUGCAGCAAUUUCCUAGAGCCAGAGGAGGGAUGUGUUUGGAGCAGGCCCCUUGCUGACAAGGUGUGAACAGAUUGAUGGCCGUCCCGUCCCACCUGGCGGCACAGGAAUACACGCAGCCUGAGCGGGCUGCCGGGAAUCCCCCUCCCAACCUGAGCCCUGCAGAAACAGGUUUUGGCUUUGAAUGAGAGCAGAGGUCACAUUCAGAAAGAGAGAAGGGUGUGUACAUGUGUGUAAGCGUGGUGGGAGCUCAGAAGAAUGUAAGUUUGGGAUCUGAAAGCAUCGCACUCCUGAACUAUGAUUAUUUAUUAUGCUGAUAGUGCCUAGAGGGCCCAGCCUCAUUGUGCUAAGGACUUCACAGGCACAGAAUGAAGAGACAGUCCCUGCCUGGAAGACGGAUGAGGAAAACCUACCUACAGGGGCUGGGAACAGGUGUGGCAUCUAUCCAUCACGCUGAUGGAGUGUGUUUGCAAGAUGGGUAUGUGAGCGUGUGCGAGUGUAGGGGAGACAGCAGGAGAAGGAGAAAGUUGGAUGGUGAUUUUAAUCUCUCUGGCUCUAAAGAAGGGUUUUAUUUUUUCUUUUAACCUCACCUUUCUUCUCCAGUAGUGAUUAUCCACAGGUGACACGGGAGAAAUAGGAAAACAGGAGGGCUGAACACUGCUGUUUCCCUGCAUCUCCAGCCAGCAGCGGCUGUGGGCUUCUUCUGAGCUCGUGGACUUCCUCCUCCAAGGCACUUCCAGCAGCAGUUACCUAGAGGAAAGCACAAGGGCAGACUGAGCGUGCUUUUCCAAUGGCUUCCAGUUAUGCCAAACAGCAGAAAGCCUGGAGAAGACAUCUGAAGGCUGGGCUUGGGGUGAAGAGGCAUUGCAUGAGGACAGGACAUUCCACGCCUGGCUGCUGAAUGGCUGUAGGAAGCAGUUUCUUCGGAUAGUUUUACAGCAUGCUGGUGGCCAGCAGGAUUGUUUGAAGGAGGAGAAACCUGCUUCAUGCAUCCCAUGUCCCUGCAUCUUCUGGAAGCUGGACAGGUUCCGCAGCUCUCGAGGCCCUCUCCAAGCAGGAGUCCUGGGCUGAUGGAAGUGGGCAGUGUCUUCUCCAGAAGCACCCAGCCAGGAGCCAGCUAACAAAAGAAAUCCAGAGAAGAGCAAAAAGCGUUGUGUUUAUGAAGAACAAUUGAACAGGCCAGACAUCUCCAGCCUGUGAGGGAUACAGCAGAGGUCUAUAAAAUCAUGAGUGGCCUGGAAAAAAAUGAAUUGAUUGCUGCUCUUACCUGUUUCCAGAAAAAGCACUUUCAGAAGAAACCAAAGGUAACAGUUCUUCACACACUGCAUAUGUUUCUUUCUCCUAAACCACGUCUGGGAGAACUGUUUUAGAGAAUGGUAACUUGGUGAACAGCAUGAGGAAAUUUAAGCUUCUAUAUGGUUUAGAUUAAGCAUGGGGAAACAAAUUUGUAUUUCUCCUUUACUGGCUGACCGGUAUUCAUGAAACUUAUAGACACUUAAUAAUCUCGAAACUUCUUUCUCUCUGACAUACUUGGUUAAGAAUGCUCAACAUUGUCUAAAGUUACUGCAAACCAGAAAGUAGUGACAGAUGCAUACACAUCAUGAUUCACAAGCCUUGCUUCUUUAGGAAAACACAGAAAAAAAUAAAAACCUUCAUUUGCCAAUAAAACCCACAUUUGGAUCCCUUCACCAUUUCCUCAAUUAAGCUAAAACCAAACUGUUUGAAAGCCUUUUCAUUUAUUUCUCCCUUCUAUCCAGUAUUUUCUGUUUCCC
rnacentral:lncRNA from 1 species